AUACGGAGGAUGCAAGCGUUAUCCGGAUUUAUUGGGUUUAAAGGGUGCGUAGGCGGUUUGCUAAGCGGGAGGUGAAAUGCCGGCGCUCAACGUCGGAAGUGCCUCCCGAACUGGUGGACUGGAAUGACUCUGCCGUGGGAGGAAUGGGUAGUGUAGCGGGGAAAUGCUUAGAGAUUACACAGAACACCGAUUGCGAAGGCAUCUCACGAAGGGUUGAUUGACGCUGAGGCACGAAAGCGUGGGGAUCAAACAGGAUUAGAUACCCUGGUAGUCCACGCAGUAAACGAUGAUGGCUAACCGCUGGGCUUAUCAGUUCAGUGGCCAAGCGAAAGCGAUAAGCCAUCCACCUGGGGAGUACGACCGCAAGGUUGAACCUCAAAGGAAUUGACGGGG
rnacentral:rRNA from 1 species